GGGGGAAAACCCAAGAUGGGUCUAAAAUAGAAGAAAAAAAAUUGUUAGUGAAGUCGGACUUUCAAACACAUAGUUUGAACUGCCGUGAUUUAACAAUAAAAUUGUUCACCAAUUUGACCAUCAAUUCUAAUCCACGUAGAAAUGUGUAUUCAACUCUAAAAUCUCUCUCAACACUUUUCACCAUGGAAAGGCUUUAAGCCAGAGGAAAUGGUGGCCAAAAA
rnacentral:lncRNA from 1 species